rnacentral:rRNA from 1 species
ACUCCUACGGGAGGCAGCAGUAGGGAAUAUUGCAUAAUGGGCGAAAGCCUGAUGCAGCAACGCCGCGUGCGCGAUGAAGGCCUUCGGGUUGUAAAGCGCUUUUGGCUGGGAAGAGGAGGGACGGUACCAGCAGAAUAAGCCUCGGCUAACUACGUGCCAGCAGCCGCGGUAAU